ensembl:lncRNA
CAGAGACACCUCUGCCCCAGCCCAGAAGUGCAGGCCACUGAGCCCGACUGUCCCCUCUGGAGCUGUCCUCGCCCAGCACCCGUUUCUGCCUGGAGGAGUGAAGGAGGACCUGAGCUCUGUUCCUGACUGAUGGACGCCUGAGGUGGGCAGUGCAGGCCCCGGCUGGCAGCUGCCACCGACCAGGACCAGGCAGCGAGCUCACACCUACGGGGAGUCAGCUUGCGUUGCCUGUUCAUCAGAAGAAAAGAAGAUGAACUGUGAAGGGAACCAGGCUGAGGAGCAGUCUCGAGGGCACGCAGGACCUCACCACAGGGCCUCUGUGUGCCACCUUCGACAGCGGACACAGGACCUGCACAGAAAGCCUUGGCCCCUUGCGGGCUCGGAAAUGACCACCCAGAAAAGUCUCAGGAAACGUUGUCAUUGCAAAGUCGUGGUGUUUGAUAUUUCAUCUGUUUAUUUGUAGUGAUUAAAAAU